rnacentral:rRNA from 1 species
CGCGAAGAACCUUACCUGGGUUUGACAUAUACCGGAAACAUCUGGAGACAGGUGCCCCGCAAGGUCGGUAUACAGGUGGUGCAUGGCUGUCGUCAGCUCGUGUCGUGAGAUGUUGGGUUAAGUCCCGCAACGAGCGCAACCCUCGUCCUAUGUUGCCAGCGGUUCGGCCGGGAACUCAUAGGAGACUGCCGGGGUCAACUCGGAGGAAGGUGGGGAUGAGGUCAAGUCAUCAUGCCCCUUAUGUCCAGGGCUUGAAACAUGCAACAAUGGCUGGUACAAAGGGCUGCAAUACCGCAAGGUGGAGCGAAUCCCAUAAAGCCAGUCUCAGUUCGGAUUGGGGUCUGCAACUCGACCCCAUGAAGUCGGAGUCGCUAGUAAUCGCAGAUCAGCAAUACUGCGGUGAAUACGUUCCCGGGCCUUGUACACACCG